CCAUGACCUUCAUCAGCAUCUUCAUCUGGAUGUUAACUUGUUUCUGUUUCAGAGAAUCAAGAGGUGAAGUGACCGUCAUUCAGACACCUGCAGUCAAAUCUGUUCAUCUACGAGACACAGUUACUAUCACCUGUAAAACUAACCCUGGAGUAUAUCAGUACUCAGGUUAUUAUUAUCUAUCCUGGUACUUACAGAAACCUGGAAAAACUCCUAAGCUCCUGAUAUUUGACGUAUACCGCCUUCAGUCUGGAACUCCAUCAAGAUUCAGUGGCAGUGGAUCAUACAAUGAUUUUACUCUGAGCAUCAGUGGAGUUCAGCCUGAAGAUGAAGGAGUUUAUUACUGUCAGAGUGCACACGGUGGUCCAGUGUUCACACAGUGA